rnacentral:rRNA from 1 species
UUGGAGGGCAAGUCUGGUGCCAGCAGCCGCGGUAAUUCCAGCUCCAAUAGCGUAUAUUAAAGUUGUUGCAGUUAAAAAGCUCGUAGUUGAAUUUCGGGAUCAAUAUGUCGGUCGUGCCUUCGGUACGUACUGGUAUCAUUGGUCUCUCCUUUCUGACGAACCAUGAUGUCAUUAAUUUGGUGUUAUGGGGAGUUAGGACUGUUACUUUGAAAAAAUUAGAGUGUUUAAAGCAGGCUUUAGCUUGAAUACAUUAGCAUGGAAUAAUGAAAUAGGGCGUUCGAACCUAUUUUGUUGGUUUCUAGGAUCAACGUAAUGAUUAAUAGGGAUAGUUGGGGGCAUUAGUAUUCAAUUGUCAGAGGUGAAAUUCUUGGAUUUAUUGAAGACUAACUACUGCGAAAGCAUUUGCCAAGGAUGUUUUCAUUAAUCAAGAACGAAAGUUAGGGGAUCGAAGACGAUCAGAUACCGUCGUAGUCUUAACCAUAAACUAUGCCGACUAGGGAUCGGAUGAUGUUAAUUUUUUAAUGACUCAUUCGGCGCCUUACGGGAAAC